rnacentral:rRNA from 1 species
GACGAACGCUGGCGGCGUGCUUAACACAUGCAAGUCGAACGGAAAGGCCCUGCUUUUGUGGGGUGCUCGAGUGGCGAACGGGUGAGUAACACGUGAGUAACCUGCCCUUGACUUUGGGAUAACUUCAGGAAACUGGGGCUAAUACCGGAUAGGAGCUCCUGCUGCAUGGUGGGGGUUGGAAAGUUUCGGCGGUUGGGGAUGGACUCGCGGCUUAUCAGCUUGUUGGUGGGGUAGUGGCUUACCAAGGCUUUGACGGGUAGCCGGCCUGAGAGGGUGACCGGCCACAUGGGGACUGAGAUACGGCCCAGACUGCUACGGGAGGCAGCAGUGGGGAAUAUUGCACAAUGGGCGGAAGCCUGAUGCAGAAACGCCGCGUGCGGGAUGACGGCCUUCGGGUUGUAAACCGCUUUCGCCUGUGACGAAGCGUGAGUGACGGUAAUGGGUAAAGAAGCACCGGCUAACUACGUG